rnacentral:rRNA from 1 species
UGGGGAAUAUUGCACAAUGGGGGAAACCCUGAUGCAGCGACGCCGCGUGAACGAAGAAGGUAUUCGUAUCGUAAAGUUCUGUCCUAUGGGAAGAUAAUGACAGUACCAUAGAAGAAAGCUCCGGCUAAAUACGUGCCAGCAGCCGCGGUAAUACGUAUGGAGCGAGCGUUGUCCGGAAUUAUUGGGCGUAAAGGGUACGCAGGCGGUUUAAUAAGUCGAAUGUUAAAGAUCGGGGCUCAACCCCGCAAAGCAUUGGAAACUGAUAAACUUGAGUAGUGGAGAGGAAGGUGGAAUUCCUAGUGUAGUGGUGAAAUACGUAGAUAUUAGGAGGAAUACCAGUAGCGAAGGCGACUUUCUGGACACAAACUGACGCUGAGGUACGAAAGCGUGGGGAGCAAACAGG